rnacentral:rRNA from 1 species
UAACGCGAAGAACCUUACCUAAACUUGACAUACCUUGAAUUACCGUGUAAUGAGGGAAGCCCUUCGGGGCAAGGAUACAGGUGGUGCAUGGUUGUCGUCAGCUCGUGUCGUGAGAUGUUGGGUUAAGUCCCGCAACGAGCGCAACCCUUGUUGUUAAUUGCUAACAGGUUAAGCUGAGCACUUUAGCGAGACAGCCUAGGUUAACUAGGAGGAAGGUGGGGAUGACGUCAAAUCAUCAUGCCCCUUACGUUUAGGGCUACACACGUGCUACAAUGGUGAGAACAAAGAGAGGCAAACUAGCGAUAGUGAGCAAAACUUAGAAAACUCAUCUCAGUUCGGAUUGCAGGCUGAAACUCGCCUGUAUGAAGAUGGAGUUGCUAGUAAUCGCGAAUCAGAAUGUCGCGGUGAAUA